AGUAAUGUCUGGGAAACUGCCUGAUGGAGGGGGAUAACUACUGGAAACGGUAGCUAAUACCGCAUAACGUCUUCGGACCAAAGUGGAGGACCUUCGGGCCUCACGCCAUCGGAUGUGCCCAGAUGGGAUUAGCUAGUAGGUGGGGUAAUGGCUCACCUAGGCGACGAUCCCUAGCUGGUCUGAGAGGAUGACCAGCCACACUGGAACUGAGACACGGUCCAG
rnacentral:rRNA from 1 species